AACCCUUAAAAUGUUUCACUUGUUCCCCUUAUGAAUAGUGUUCACAUGUGUGGGGGACAUGUGUGUGUAUUUUUUUUAAAAAAAAAAAUUUGAAGAAAAUCACAUGUUCUUCUUCUAACCUUCUGCCCUUCUAUCUCUUUCUUUUCAUGAUUUAUGCAACCUUGCUUUUUACCUAGAAAUUAGCCACUUUGUUUUUUUUCAAUUUUCUUCUCUUCCCUGAUCGAUGAUGUUGACAAAUAAGACUUGCAUUGCCAACAAAUGAAUCUUCACCUUCUGAAUUCUAAUAAAGUAACUUAACAUCAUUUCCAAUUACCUCAAUGGUGUGAUUCAAAAAUUCAAGAGGAGAGCCACAUCUGAAGAAUCUGCAUACGAUUGCAUCAACUUAGCCAACAAUGGAAUCUGCAAUUCACUUCCCCUACUUUCUCCUCCUCUAUACGCCCCUUUUCUCUCUCUUCUUCCCUUUUCACUUUCUCUACAACCAUCAACAAUGAACCUGCCAUCCACGGUCACCACUCAGCACUAUCAAACUACGAGAGACCGAGGAACGGAAGGAUGAAUAGCCGCUGAACGAGGAGAUAGAAAACAGAUCUAGAACGAAGGUGAAGAUUUUUUGGAAAGGCAAGUUCUGGAAUCUCAGAGGCUAUAAGGUUCAUCUCCGUAUGUAUUAAUUGGUCAUCGAUCUAGCUUUUAUUCACGAUCAAUUUUCUAACUUGGUUUUAAGUUAGUCUCUGAUUGUGAUUGCCCGCAAAUAUUGAAGUUAUCAACUUCUAUUCUGAUCAUUGAUGCUAAUCAAGUUUUGCGGGGGAAGGUAGAUCAGUGGCGGCAGUGAGAAAUUGAAACCUUGAAAAUUAACAUAUACACGGUGUCAACUCUUGAAUCAUUUAUCUUGAAAGGGGGAAGAGUAGGAGAGAAGGAUGUUGUAAAUGUCGUGAAAUUAUUAAUGAAUGAAUUGAUCAAAUUCGAUGGAAUUAUCAUCGACGGUGAUGUGAAUUUACAAAGAAAGAUGCAGGAAAACUCUUAUGAUACAAAGAAAGUAUGUUCAGACUUUGGAUGUGCUAAAGGCAAAAAAACUCGGCACCGGCAGCAAAUGGAGCUCAUAGGAUGUGUGUGGAUAUGUUUUUUUUAUUUUUUAUUUUUUAUUUUUAUUUGAGGAAAAAGGUUAUUAGCUAAGUUGGCUUACUUGACUAUUUAUCCUAAACAAUAUUUAGGAGCAAAUUCAUGUUUGUAACAGUGCGAAUUGAUCAUUGUUGAGGGGUUUGAAUGUACUUUCAUCUAAAAAGUUAGGGGCAA